UACGUAGGGUGCGAGCGUUAAUCGGAAUUACUGGGCGUAAAGCGUGCGCAGGCGGUUUGUUGAAGACAGGUGUGAAAUCCCCGGGACCUUAACCUUCGGGAAUGCCAUUUGUGAUCUCGCAUCGCUGGAGUGCGGCAGAGGGGGAUGGAAUUCCGCGUGUAGCAGUGAAAUGCGUAGAUAUGCGGAGGAACACCGAUGGCGAAGGCAAUCCCCUGGGCCUGCACUGACGCUCAUGCACGAAAGCGUGGGGAGCAAACAGG
rnacentral:rRNA from 1 species